AGAAGGAACUAAGAUGGUGAGGCCAAGGCAGGGGUGGAUCACCUGAGGUCAGGAGUCCAAGACCAGCCUGGCCAACAUGAGGCUGAUAGUAUGCCUGGAGGAGUCCCUGUACAUUCACAACAUUCGGGACAUGAAGGUGCUGCAUACGAUCAGGGAGACGCCUCCAAACCCUGCAGGCCUGUGUGCGCUGUCAAUCAACAACGACAACUGCUACUUGGCGUACCCAGGGAGCGCGACCAUCGGAGAGGUGCAGGUCUUCGAUACCAUUAAUUUGAGAGCUGCAAACAUGAUUCCGGCUCACGACAGUCCUUUAGCGGCAUUGGCCUUUGACGCAAGUGGAACUAAACUUGCCACGGCUUCGGAGAAGGGGACCGUGAUUAGGGUAUUUUCCAUUCCAGAAGGACAAAAACUCUUUGAGUUUCGGAGAGGAGUGAAGAGGUGCGUGAGCAUCUGCUCCCUGGCCUUCAGCA
rnacentral:sRNA from 1 species